AAAGUCCAAGAGUUUCAAAUAGAGAAAUGAGGAUAAAUUUAGUUCCAGAAAACAGACUUGUUUUACAGAGUAGCAGUUCUGCCCUCCUAGCUGAAAGAAAAUAACUGAGUGUGAGCAUCUCUUGUCUUCUGCCCUGUGAAGAGUAAAAGCAAAAUUCCAAACCACUUUUAUUGGUGCUUUAGGAGAAGUACUGCCCUUGUAGAGGAGUCAGUGUACCUGCUGUGUUUGCAAGAACAGAAGGUCAGGGCUGGCAGGAAGAGAGCAAAUAGUGGUACUUCAUACAUGGACAAGAGGUUAGUUCAGGAGUCACUCAAAGGAAAUGUUUAUACAGCCUAAAGGGGACUGUGAGGAGUGUGCUGUGGUAUGAAUUCAAAGCUAACAAAAUGUGAUAUCUUUCGAUGUCUUUUGAAAAUCUGAUUAUUUACUUGAGACGUUGUCCAGAUGUAAAAGAUAUACCUCUAAGAAAAUCAAAGGUUUUCAGAUACAAAGUAUCUUAGACGUUACAUGCUUUCUUGACAUGUUUGAAAGUUUAAUUCCAAAUUUAUCAGAACUGACUGGCUUUAUGGCCACUGUAUUAAAAUAAUUACAUGUUUUGGACAAAAAAAGAAGACAAAUCAAGGAGGAUCUGGAAAAGGAACAAGUAGUUUCAGACAGGUCAGAUAAUGAGAUACUGCAUUGUAUCAAGAAGACAAGAGCAAACAACUGAGUCCUCUCCAUUCCUGUUGAUGUUCAAAUCCAAGAAAAGAGGAGGGAGCAGAAAAGUUUUUGCUUUCCAAUGAUUUUUGUUUCAUUUUCAUUUGGUAUGGGGUACCGUUUUUUAGUGGGGUAAGAGGUUGAGGUGUUUUCUUUUGUUUGUCCAUUCCUUUCAAGAAAAAACAGCAAUGCUAUACUCCAGAAGAUGGUUCAAAGCAGUACAUCCUAAAUAACCAAACAAUGUUCUCGUUGUAUGCAAGCUGCAGAGAAGUGUAAGGUCUUCGACUCCCGUCAUAAGCAUGUUGAAGAUUUGUAGUGGGUUGGCUUUGUUAAUUUUGGUAACAACUUCCAAGAACCCUAAGAAACCAACAAAGGAGAAAUGGAUGCUAUUUCAGGGUCAAGUUCAGCAUCUCAAGACAGCACUGAUGAUACCUUUAUCCUUGAGAGGAUUUAAUCAGUCUGUUGCCACUGAAACCCUGGAACAGCACUACAUCUGCAGAUAGCAUAUGUUUAAUCUCCUAUGAUUAAGUGAUCACUAGAAAAAGUAAAAAUGCCCAUUAAAUGAAAAAGAGGUGAAGGAUCCUUCUGCCAGAAUGACAGGUCUCAUCUCUCUUGAAUUUUUCAAAGGCAGGAGCUGCUUUCUGUGAGAAUUCUCCUCUCUUCUGAAUGUCCCAAACAGGUGUACACGUGACAAAAAUGAGAUUCCUAACUGUUAGAGCUUUUAAUAAAGAGGUAUUCCAUUUCAUUCCAUCAAACCAAGAGGUAGGGGGUUAUUAGAAGGGUUAUUUUGAAGUCAUCAUCCCCGUCUAGUUGUGUACAUGAUAGCAGUGACUGAUGGCAUUCUUCUCAUAAAGAGGAUUGCUUCUAGGAACAGCUACUUAACCUCUCACUGGAAGGUUACAAGUGUAUUGUCUCUAGCGGCUGCAAAGGGUAAUCUGCCAUAAUCCCUCCCUCCACCACAGCCAGCGCUG
ensembl:lncRNA